AUUGAACGCUGGCGGCAUGCUUUACACAUGCAAGUCGGACGGCAGCACAGAGAAGCUUGCUUCUUGGGUGGCGAGUGGCGAACGGGUGAGUAAUAUAUCGGAACGUACCGAGUAAGGGGGGAUAACUAAUCGAAAGAUUAGCUAAUACCGCAGAUUCUCUGAGGAGGAAAGCAGGGGACCUUCGGGCCUUGCGUUAUUCGAGCGGCCGAUAUCUGAUUAGCGAGUUGGUGGGGUAAAGGCCUACCAAGGCGACGAUCAGUAGCGGGUCUGAGAGGAUGAUCGGCCACACUGGGACUGAGACACGGCCCAGACUCCUACGGGAGGCAGCAGUGGGGAACUUUAGACAAUGGGCGCAAGCCUGAUCCAGCCAUGCCGCGUGUCUGAAGAAGGCCUUCGGGUUGUAAAGGACUUUUGUCAGGGAAGAAAAGGCUGUUGCUAAUAUCAAUAGCUGAUGACGGUACCUGAAGAAUAAGCACCGGCUAACUACGUG
rnacentral:rRNA from 1 species